rnacentral:rRNA from 1 species
ACUAAACAGCUAGCUUACUCUACUGAAUAAAUGAACCAUAUAAACAAAAUAAAAUAAAACUAACAUCAAGAACCAAAUCAUUUUUAAGUUCAAGUACGGGAGACGGAAAAGACUACCUGCAAGCGAUAGAAAAAGUACCGUGAGGGAAAGCUGAAAGAGUAAUGAAACAAUUCAUAUAAGUAACAAAAAGUAAAGAUUAAAUCUUGUACCUUUUGCAUCAUGAUUUAGCUAGUACACUUAAGCAAAGAGAACUUUAGUUUAAAACCCCGAAACCAGGUGAGCUACCCCGAGACAGCCGUCAAGGGCCAACCCGUCUCUGUGGCAAAAGAGUGGGAAGAGCUCCGGGUAGAAGUGAAAGACCUACCGAACCUGGUGAUAGCUGGUUGCCUGAGAAAUGGAUAGGAGUUCAGCCUCGCACACCUCCCACCAAUUUAAAUCAAUAUGAAUAAAGUAUAAGAGAAAUAUGCGAGAGUUAAUUAAAGGAGGUACAGCCCCUUUGAUAAAGGAAACAACCUUUUCAGGAGGAUAAAGAUCAUAAUACGUAAAACAUAAUGUUCUAGUGGGCCUAAAAGCAGCCACCUAAACAGAAAGCGUCAAAGCUCAGACAUAAUGAAAUUUAUAAUUCCAAUAAUCUAGUCUUAUUCCCCUAAAAAUAUCAAGCCAACCCAUGCCAACAUGGAAGAGAUAAUGCUAAAAUGAGUAACAAGAAGAACUAUUCUUCUCCUGACACAAGUGUAAGCCAAAUCGGACCAACCAUUGGCAAUCAACGGACUCAACUCAAGAGAGCAUUAUGGAUCACAAAAAAAUCAAGAAAAGUCCAUAACAAGAUACCGUUAACCCCACACUGGAAUGUACUCAAGGGAAAGACUAAAAGAAGAGAAAGGAACUCGGCAAACAUAAGCCUCGCCUGUUUACCAAAAACAUCGCCUCUUGCAACACAGCCAGGUAUAAGAGGUCCAGCCUGCCCAGUGAUUAUAAAUUCAACGGCCGCGGUAUUUUGACCGUGCAAAGGUAGCGCAAUCACUUGUCUUUUAAAUGAAGACCUGUAUGAACGGCUAAACGAGGGCUUAACUGUCUCCCCCUUCAAGUCAGUGAAAUUAACCUGCCCGUGCAGAGGCGGACAUAACCAUACAAGACGAGAAGACCCUUUGGAGCUUAAGGUACAAAAAUUAACCACGUCUAACAACCCAAUAAAACGCAUAAAACUCCAUGGAAUUAAAAUUUUACCUUCGGUUGGGGCGACCACGGAGUAAAGUAAAACCUCCGAGUGGACCGGGAAAACCCUAGAGUCAAGAAAGACAUCUCUAAGCCACAGAACAUCUGACCAAUAGUGAUCCGGGCUAUAUGGCACCGAUCAACGAACCAAGUUACCCCAGGGAUAACAGCGCAAUCCUCUCCAAGAGCCCAUAUCGACGAGAGGGUUUACGACCUCGAUGUUGGAUCAGGACAUCCUAAUGGUGCAGCCGCUAUUAAGGGUUCGUUUGUUCAACGAUUAAAGUCCUACGUGAUCUGAGUUCAGACCGGAGCAAUCCAGGUCAGUUUCUAUCUGUACAGCUACUUUUCCUAGUACGAAAGGACCGGAAGAGUGGGGCCCAUACUAUAAGCACGCCCCACCCCGAACUUAUGAAGACAAAUAAAUAAAAUAAAGAGAGAGCAAAAUCUCCAAACGCCAAGAUAAGGCCAU